GACGAACGCUUGCGGCGUGCUUAACACAUGCAAGUCGAACGGAAAGGCCCUGCUUUUGUGGGGUGCUCGAGUGGCGAACGGGUGAGUAACACGUGAGUAACCUGCCCUUGACUUUGGGAUAACUUCAGGAAACUGGGGCUAAUACCGGAUAGGAGCUCCUGCUGCAUGGUGGGGGUUGGAAAGUUUCGGCGGUUGGGGAUGGACUCGCGGCUUAUCAGCUUGUUGGUGGGGUAGUGGCUUACCAAGGCUUUGACGGGUAGCCGGCCUGAGAGGGUGACCGGCCACAUUGGGACUGAGAUACGGCCCAGACUCCUACGGGAGGCAGCAGUGGGGAAUAUUGCACAAUGGGCGGAGGCCUGAUGCAGCAACGCCGCGUGCGGGAUGACGGCCUUCGGGUUGUAAACCGCUUUCGCCUGUGACGAAGCGUGAGUGACGGUAAUGGGUAAAGAAGCACCGGCUAACUACGUGCCAGCAGCCGCGGUGAUACGUAGGGUGCGAGCGUUGUCCGGAUUUAUUGGGCGUAAAGGGCUCGUAGGUGGUUGAUCGCGUCGGAAGUGUAAUCUUGGGGCUUAACCCUGAGCGUGCUUUCGAUACGGGUUGACUUGAGGAAGGUAGGGGAGAAUGGAAUUCCUGGUGGAGCGGUGGAAUGCGCAGAUAUCAGGAGGAACACCAGUGGCGAAGGCGGUUCUCUGGGCCUUUCCUGACGCUGAGGAGCGAAAGCGUGGGGAGCGAACAGGCUUAGAUACCCUGGUAGUCCACGCUGUAAACGGUGGGUACUAGGUGUGGGGUCCAUUCCACGGGUUCCGUGCCGUAGCUAACGCUUUAAGUACCCCGCCUGGGGAGUACGGCCGCAAGGCUAAAACUCAAAGGAAUUGACGGGGCCCCGCACAAGCGGCGGAGCAUGCGGAUUAAUUCGAUGCAACGCGUAGAACCUUACCUGGGUUUGACAUGGAUCGGGAGUGCUCAGAGAUGGGUGUGCCUCUUUUGGGGUCGGUUCACAGGUGGUGCAUGGCUGUCGUCAGCUCGUGUCGUGAGAUGUUGGGUUAAGUCCCGCAACGAGCGCAACCCUUGUUCACUGUUGCCAGCACGUUAUGGUGGGGACUCAGUGGAGACCGCCGGGGUCAACUCGGAGGAAGGUGGGGAUGACGUCAAGUCAUCAUGCCCCUUAUGUCCAGGGCUUCACGCAUGCUACAAUGGCUGGUACAGAGAGUGGCGAGCCUGUGAGGGUGAGCGAAUCUCGGAAAGCCGGUCUCAGUUCGGAUUGAGGUCUGCAACUCGACCUCAUGAAGUCGGAGUCGCUAGUAAUCGCAGAUCAGCAACGCUGCGGUGAAUACGUUCCCGGGGCU
rnacentral:rRNA from 1 species